AACGAACGCUGGCGGCAUGCCUAACACAUGCAAGUCGAACGCUCCGCAAGGGGAGUGGCGCACGGGUGGGUAACACGUGGGAACCUGCCUAUUGGUUCGGAACAACAUUUGGAAACGAACGCUAAUACCGGAUGUCCCCCGAGGGGGAAAGAUUUAUCGCCAAUAGAGGGGCCCGCGUCCGAUUAGGUAGUUGGUGGGGUAAAGGCCUACCAAGCCGACGAUCGGUAGCUGGUCUGAGAGGAUGAUCAGCCACACUGGGACUGAGACACGGCCCAGACUCCUACGGGAGGCAGCAGUGGGGAAUAUUGGACAAUGGGCGGAAGCCUGAUCCAGCAAUGCCGCGUGAGUGAUGAAGGCCUUAGGGUUGUAAAGCUCUUUCGCACGUGACGAUGAUGACGGUAACGUGAGAAGAAGCCCCGGCUAACUUCGUGCCAGCCGCCGCCGUAA
rnacentral:rRNA from 1 species